rnacentral:rRNA from 1 species
CCCUUAGAUGUUCUGGGCCGCACGCGCGCUACACUGAUGCAUUCAACGAGCCUAGCCUUGACCGAGAGGUCCGGGUAAUCUUUGAAACUGCAUCGUGAUGGGGCUAGAUUAUUGCAAUUAUUAAUCUUCAACGAGGAGUGCCUAGUAAGCGUGAUUCAUCAAAUCGCGUUGAUUACGUCCCUGCCCUUUGUACACACCGCCCGUCGCUCCUACCGAUUGAGUGUGUUGGUGAGGAGUUCGGAUUGGCUCUUAGUGGUGGUUCGCCACCACCUAGAGCUGAGAAGUUCUCCAAACCGCCCCACUUAGAGGAAGGAGAAGUCGUAACA